AUGCCCCCGAGACCUGGCUGUGAGCUGAUAAGAGCCGGGCCCAUGGCUGGAGAUCCCAAUGACCAGAGGUUUGUCUCCCAGACUGUGGUCCAACAGCCUGUGUCUGCAUCAGCUCAGCUGGGAGACCCUGUAGCUCUCCAGUGCUCUAUUACCUCCCAGAGGACGGACCACAGUAACCAGUGCCAAGGGGAACCCAGUGUGUACUGGUUCAGAUCAGGACCAUCUCACCCUGCUGUCAUUUACAUGAAUGGUAACAGGAGUGGUGAAUGUCAGAAUAGUUCUGGGCCUCCGUCUGCUCCACAGAGCUGUGUCUACACUCUCCCCAAGAACAAUGUAGACUCCUCAGAUGCUGGGACUUACUACUGUGCCCUGGCAGCAUGCGGGGAAGUUGUGUUUGGAAGUGGAACUACGCUGGACAUAACAGAUCCCAACCAUCGUCUUGAGAUCUUUGUGCAUCGGAUAAUCAUCUUGUUCUUGGGGAGAGUGUCGACACAACUCUGUGAGGCAGACGGAGGUCCAGAAGUAUUCUGACAUUCACCACUCCUGUUUCC